GGGUGUUUGGUCUAGUGAUAUGAUUCUUGCUUCUGGUGUGAGAGAUCGUGAGUUCAAUUCUUGCAACGCCAC
rnacentral:tRNA from 1 species